rnacentral:tRNA from 1 species
AGCAGCGUGGCUCAGUGGAAAGAGCCCGGCCUCGGGAGUCAGAGGUCACGGGUUCGAAUCCCGGCUCUGCCA